rnacentral:rRNA from 1 species
UACGGGAGGCAGCAGUGGGGAAUAUUGCACAAUGGGCGCAAGCCUGAUGCAGCCAUGCCGCGUGUAUGAAGAAGGCCUUCGGGUUGUAAAGUACUUUCAGCAGUGAGGAAGGUGGAUAUGUUAAUAGCAUAUUCAUUUGACGUUAGCUGCAGAAGAAGCACCGGCUAACUCCGUGCCAGCAGCCGCGGUAAUACGGAGGGUGCGAGCGUUAAUCGGAAUUACUGGGCGUAAAGCGCAUGCAGGUGGUUUGUUAAGUCAGAUGUGAAAGCCCGGGGCUCAACCUCGGAAUUGCAUUUGAAACUGGCAAACUAGAGUACUGUAGAGGGGGUAGAAUUUCAGGUGUAGCGGUGAAAUGCGUAGAGAUCUGAAGGAAUACCGGUGGCGAAGGCGGCCCCCUGGACAGAUACUGACACUCAGAUGCGAAAGCGUGGGGAGCAAACAGGAUUAGAUACCCUGGUAG